GGGUCAGUAGGUUGGUCGUGCCACCGGUACGUACUGGUCUCACUGAUUCCUCCUUCCUGAAGAACCGUAAUGCCAUUAAUUUGGUGUUGCGGGGAAACAGGACUGCUACUUUGAAAAAAUUAGAGUGCUUAAAGCAAGCUAACGCUUGAAUACAUUAGCAUGGAAUAAUGAAAUAGGACGAUCGAUCCUAUUUUGUUGGUUUCUAGGAUUGACGUA
rnacentral:rRNA from 1 species